AGAGUUUGAUCAUGGCUCAGGAUGAACGCUGGCGGCGUGCUUAACACAUGCAAGUCGAACGGGAAAUACUUCAUUGAGACUUCGGUGGAUUUGAUCUAUUUCUAGUGGCGGACGGGUGAGUAACGCGUGGGUAACCUGCCUUAUACAGGGGGAUAACAGUCAGAAAUGACUGCUAAUACCGCAUAAGCGCACAGAGCUGCAUGGCUCAGUGUGAAAAACUCCGGUGGUAUAAGAUGGACCCGCGUUGGAUUAGCUAGUUGGUGGGGUAACGGCCCACCAAGGCGACGAUCCAUAGCCGGCCUGAGAGGGUGAACGGCCACAUUGGGACUGAGACACGGCCCAGACUCCUACGGGAGGCAGCAGUGGGGAAUAUUGCACAAUGGGGGAAACCCUGAUGCAGCGACGCCGCGUGAAGGAAGAAGUAUCUCGGUAUGUAAACUUCUAUCAGCAGGGAAGAUAGUGACGGUACCUGACUAAGAAGCCCCGGCUAACUACGUGCCAGCAGCCGCGGUAAUACGUAGGGGGCAAGCGUUAUCCGGAUUUACUGGGUGUAAAGGGAGCGUAGACGGUGUGGCAAGUCUGAUGUGAAAGGCAUGGGCUCAACCUGUGGACUGCAUUGGAAACUGCCAUACUUGAGUGCCGGAGGGGUAAGCGGAAUUCCUAGUGUAGCGGUGAAAUGCUUAGAUAUCACGAAGAACUCCGAUUGCGAAGGCAGCUCACUGGAGCGCAACUGACGCUGAAGCUCGAAAGUGCGGGUAUCGAACAGGAUUAGAUACCCUGGUAGUCCGCACGGUAAACGAUGGAUGCCCGCUGUUGGUCUGAACAGGUCAGCGGCCAAGCGAAAGCAUUAAGCAUCCCACCUGGGGAGUACGCCGGCAACGGUGAAACUCAAAGGAAUUGACGGGGGCCCGCACAAGCGGAGGAACAUGUGGUUUAAUUCGAUGAUACGCGAGGAACCUUACCCGGGCUUGAAUUGCAGAGGAAGGAUUUGGAGACAAUGACGCCCUUCGGGGUCUCUGUGAAGGUGCUGCAUGGUUGUCGUCAGCUCGUGCCGUGAGGUGUCGGCCUAAGUGCCAUAACGGGCGCAACCCCUCUCCUUAGUUGCCAUCAGGUUAAGCUGGGCACUCUGGGGACACUGCCACCGUAAGGUGUGAGGAAGGUGGGGAUGACGUCAAAUCAGCACGGCCCUUACGUCCGGGGCUACACACGUGUUACAAUGGCAGGUACAGAGAGACGGUUGUACGUAAGUACGAUCAAAUCCUUAAAGCCUGUCUCAGUUCGGACUGGGGUCUGCAACCCGACCCCACGAAGCUGGAUUCGCUAGCAAUCGCGCAUCAGCCAUGGCGCGGUGAAUACGUUCCCGGGCCUUGUACACACCGCCCGUCAAGCCAUGAAAGCCGGGGGCGCCUAAAGUCCGUGACCGUAAGGAGCGGCCUAGGGCGAAACUGGUAAUUGGGGCUAAGUCGUAACAAGGUA
rnacentral:rRNA from 1 species